AAAGAAUCAUCCAGGAAAAAGAUCGAAGACACUAACCACAAGCUUGUUGGCCAUGAUGAUGAUCGUCGAGAGCACACAGAUCAAGCAGAGCGAGAGACGCUUGGCCGAGGCCGAGGCUGAGGCCAUUCCUCCCCCUCGUGGCAGCUUGGUCCAGACGGGAGUCCCUCUUGUCCUCCAAUUCAGCCUUUCUGUCGCCACCAAGACCCUGGGCCCGAGACCUGCAGCAGGAGCAGGAGGACCCCGCAUCCUGCAGCUGGCCUCAAAGAUGUAUGAUUUCGCCCUGUGGAUCACCUUCAUCUUCGACGCCGUCCUGGUGCUCUAUCUCCUUGUCCGUUACAUCGGACUCAGGGACUCGCCAUCAGUCAACCGAACUGUAAGGUACCUCAUGUUUACUACUGUCGUUGUGGCGUCGGCUACUGCAACGUUGGGGUAUGUCCUCAACAUAGCAGUCGCUUGAUGCAUCUGCUAUUGCUCUGUUUUUGUUCAGGUAAUGAAGUGUUGGGACGCACCCAACCACCCAUCAAGUCUCGGUCCCGUCGGUCUGCCUGUGUCGUGUCUCUGUGUGAUAUCAUCCUUUGUAGAUCUUUUGGCACACAGUAUCGUUGACUAAUUAGUUAUUUCAUCAUCGUUGUGAUGGCAACUCGCAGGUCCUCUUUGAAAGAUCACCAUCAGUUAAUUAUGAUUGGUGGGAUUGCUUAUCUUUUAUUUUGCUUUUCUUUUUUCUUCUUUUCUUGUCUGCUUUUACAAUGAGAAGCAGAUGAUGUUUUAGCUUGCUUGCAGUAUUCCUGAUAAUAAUCCAAGUGUUGUUGUAAUUGAUUGGAAUAUUUCUUAUUCUUAA